GAUGAAAGACUUAAAAGCACAGCUGAAGGAACAGUACAUCGAGAAGAAAGUUGCAGUAUCUAAAUAUGGUUAUCUGGAACGAAAGUUCGAAUUAACGGAAGCUGACGGUCAUCAUCAGAGCCCUGCGCCAAUGAGAAGAAAGAGCAAAAAUGAAGGUAGAAAGAUUGACCAUUUUGAAGAAUGUCAAAAAUCUAAAAAGACUGAUCACCAUCAGAAAGAACAGCCACAUAAAGCUGAGGAAGACUGCCAAACGUUACUAAAUAUAAUUAAUGAACAGAGGAACAAAAUUGAAACUUUGGAGAAAGAGAAAACAGAAUAUGAAAACGAAUUGGAAU